UCUGGAAACUGUNUGACUUGAGUGCAGAAGGGGAGAGUGGAAUUCCAUGUGUAGCGGUGAAAUGCGUAGAUAUAUGGAGGANCACCAGUGGCGAAAGCGGCUCUCUGGUCUGUCACUGACGCUGAGGCUNGAAAGCGUGGGUAGCGAACAGGAUUAGAUACCCUGGUAGUNCACGCCGUAAACGAUGAGUGCUAGGUGUUAGGCCCNUUCCGGGGCUUAGUGCCGGAGCUAACGCAAUAAGCACUCCGCCUGGGGAGUACGACCGCAAGGUUGAAACUCAAAGGAAUUGACGGGGGCCCGCACAAGCGGUGGAGCAUGUGGUUUAAUUCGAAGCAACGCGAAGAACCUUACCAGGUCUUGACAUCCCGAUGCUAUUCUUAGAGAUAGGAAGUUACUUCGGUACAUCGGAGACAGGUGGUGCAUGGUUGUCGUCAGCUCGUGUCGUGAGAUGUUGGGUUAAGUCCCGCAACGAGCGCAACCCUUAUUGUUAGUUGCCAUCAUUAAGUUGGGCACUCUAGCGAGACUGCCGGUAAUAAACCGGAGGAAGGUGGGGAUGACGUCAAAUCAUCAUGCCCCUUAUGACCUGGGCUACACACGUGCUACAAUGGUCGGUACAACGAGUUGCGAGCCGGUGACGGCAAGCUAAUCUCUGAAAGCCGAUCUCAGUUCGGAUUGGAGGCUGCAACUCGCCUCCAUGAAGUCGGAAUCGCUAGUAAUCGCGGAUCAGCACGCCGCGGUGAAUACGUUCCCGGGCCUUGUACACACCGCCCGUCACACCACGAGAGUUUGUAACACCCGAAGUCGGUGAGGUAACCUUUUAGGGGCC
rnacentral:rRNA from 1 species